UUAGAUACAUCAGAAUAAUAAAAUGGAAAUAAACAACCGUGAAGUAAAAAAAAUCAUGAAAAAAAUUGAAAAGAAUAUACUUAAACAUGAACAGGAAACCAUUUGCUGUGAAUGGGCCCUUAGGUCACUCCUGAGCUUCCUGGCAGCCAAGUCAGAAGAAACAGAGCCACUAAGUAUUGAACACCUACUUUGAGUAAUGCUCUCUCUCAGUUAAGCAGUGUGAGUGAUACCUGGAUUAAGGGAAAAAGUGAGCAGAGCCUUGAAGGAUGUCCAGAAUAACUACACUCACAAAUACACUCUCCUGGAGAAGGACCAGCAUUUGCAAAGACACCUGAAGAGUGCAGGCGGUUCUUAGGGGAAGAUGGAUGAUCCUCUGCUGGAGUGAAGGAUAUGGAGGAAAGGUGGGUGGAAGGGAAAGAGUUGUCUUGGGAAAUGAAUUAAGCUGUAGCCAAGUCAUGGUGGAGCUUGCAUGCCAACCUGCAUGUCUUGAAGUCAUUUGAGAGUCACUGGAGGUGUUUAAGAGAAGUGACAUGUUUAGAGUUAUAAUUCAUUAGAUUGAUCCAGUCAAGUUUCUUCCUUGUUUUAGUUGUGACUAAUAUGAAUGGAAAACAUUAUAAUAGAAGAAAAAUUCCAGGACAAUUUGUCUUUAUAAAUGGAAUUCUUCAUCUUUGUUGCUCAGUGCAAGUCAUUUAGCCACCAGAAGAGUAUUGUCAGGUAAGACUGUUAACUGAGUCCUGGGGAAACUCGCUGCUUUUAAUUGGGUUCCUUGGGUUUUCUUUAAUAUGACCCAAUUUAGAUGAAAGAACAUGUUCACUACCUGUUUUGUGGAGUAUUCACAGAAUUAUGCUAGGACUUGCACAUCAGUAUUUAUAGAUUUGUUUUAUAAUAUGUCAUGUCAUAAUUAAAAUCAGCACAGUUAUACUCUCAAGGAUUCAGAGAACUUUCUAAAGUGAGGUUUUCAUCUUCAUUGACUUCAAAGUAACACAUGGGACAUGAACAUUGCUAGCCAUCUCAGAUUUAUCCAGAUUGAAUACUUUCAGUGGAAGACUGAGUCCUGAUUCCUUCUUGCUACUUUCUUGCUGAAAGAAAUAGGUUACAGUUACUUUUCUACAGGGUGCCAUAAAUAAACAUUCAAGGAUGUUACAAUUCAGGUGUUAUUUAACAAUUUUUAGACUAGUAAAAUUACAUCUU